AGAGUUUGAUCAUGGCUCAGAAUAAACGUUGGCGGCGUGCUUAACACAUGCAAGUCGAGCGAGAAAGGUCUUCGGACUGAGUACAGCGGCAAACGGGUGAGUAACACGUGGAAUCUACCUUUUAGUGAAGAAUACCCUCGAGAAAUCGAGGUUAAUACUGCAUACGUCUCGAAAGAGAGAAAGAUGGCCUCUUUGCUGUCGCUGAAAGAUGAGCCUGCGUACUAUUAGCUAGUUGGUAGGGUAAAGGCCUACCAAGGCUAUGAUGGUUAGCCGGCCUGAGAGGGUGUACGGCCACACUGGAACUUAGACACGGUCCAGACUCCUACGGGAGGCAGCAGUGAGGAAUAUUGCGCAAUGGGCGAAAGCCUGACGCAGCGACGCCGCGUGGAGGAUGAAGGUCUUAGGACUGUAAACUUCUGUUAAGCGGGAAGAAAGACGAAGUGUUAAUACCACUUUAUGAUGACGGUACCGCUAAAGAAAGCACCGGCUAACUUCGUG
rnacentral:rRNA from 1 species